UAUGGUCAAGAGGAAAACUCCUGAGGAGAUUCGCAAGACCUUCAAUAUCAAAAAUGACCUUACUGGGCCCGGUGCCGUGGCUCAAGCCUGUAAUCCCAGCACUUUGGGAGGCCAAGGCGGGUGGAUCACGAGGUCAAGAGAUCUAGACUAUCCUGGCUAACACGGUGAAACUCCGUCUCUACUAAAAAAAUACAAAAAAACUAGCCGGGCGAGGUGGCGGGCGCCUGUAGUCCCAGCUACUCCGGAGGCUGAGGCAGGAGAAUGGCGUGAACCCGGGAGGCGGAGCUUGCACUGAGCUGAGAUCCGGCCACUGCACUCCAGCCUGGGCGACAGAGCAAGACUCCGUCAAAAAAAAAAAAAAGAAAAAAAAAAGAAAAAUUACUUUACUGAAGAGGAGGGAGCCCAGGUACGCAAAGAGAACCAGCGAUGUGAAGAGAAGUGUAAUGUUAUGCCUGACUCUGUAUCACUGUAAGGAUUGUUCCAAAUACUAGUUGCCCUGCUCUGUUGAUAAUUAUUAAUAUUAGACAAACAGUAGACAAAUGCAGCCGCAAGUCAAUUGUAUUAGCAGAAUAUUGUCCUCAUUGCAUGUGUAGUUUGAGUACAGAUUCCAAACCUAUGGCUGAGUUUCUUCCAGUACGAUCAAAAGUUUCUUUUUCCUUGGCUCUGAAUAAAACUGAACCGUAGGUUCUCUAUAGGUGGAAUUUUGGCCUUUCCCUCUUUUUUUGUAAAGCAAUGUCUGCCUAGUUUAUUGUCCAGUUAGCUUAGUGACAUUUUAAAAGUUGGCACUAUAAAUAAAUCAACUUGCAAAAAAAAUUUCUGUACUAGAAUUAACAAAAUGUUAUCUUUAUUCGUGUAUUGAAAACUGGAAAAAGGCUUCUUGAAGUAAAUGUUCUGAGUGGAGUUACUAGAAUGUCUUCCAGCGUCCUGCAGGCAAGGAGUACCACUGUACUGAUUAACCUGUUUGUAGGAGGGCUCCCUUCAUUGCAUCUGAGGACUUAGUUUCUUUUUCUUUAAUUUUAUUUUGAAUCCUCUUAGCUUUCAAUAUAUUGCCUAGAGACUCAGUUACUACCCAGUUUACUGGUUUUUGGGAGAAAUGUAACUGGACAGUUUGUUAGCUUUUCAAUUAAAAAGACAGUUAACCCAUGGGAAAAAAAAAGAGAGAGAGAGGAGAGAAAACUACCUCUAAAAGCCAAAAUGGGAAAGGAAAAGACUAAUAUCAACGUUGUCAUAAUUGCACACUUAGGUUCAGGCAAGUCCACCACUUCUGGCCAUCUGAUCUACAAAUACAUUGGCGUCGACAAAAGAACCAUUCAAAAAUUUGAGAAGGAGGCUGCUGAGAUGGGAAAGUGCUCCUUCAAGUAGGCCUGGGUCUUAGAUAAACUGAAAGUGGAACGUGAACGUGGUAUCACCAUUGGUAUCUCCCUGUAGAAAUUUGAGACCAGUAAGUACUACACGAGUAUCACUGAUGGCCCAGAACACAGAGACGUCAUCAAAAACAUGAUUAUGGGGACAUCUCAGGCUGACUGUGCUGUCCUGAUUGUUGCUGCAGGUGUUGGUGAAUUUGAAGCCGGUAUCUCCAAGAAGGACAGACCGAGGAGCAUGCCCUUCUAGCUUACACACUGGGGGUGAAACAACUCAUUGUUAGUGUUAACAAAAUGGAUUCCACUGAGCCACCCUACAGCCAGAAGAGAUAUGAGGAAAUCGUUAAGGAAGUCAGCAUUUAAUGUUAUGAAAAUUGGCUGCAACCUUGACACAGUAGCAUUUGUGCCAAUUUCUGGCUGGAAUGGUAACAACAUGCUGGAGCCAAGUGCUAGCAUCCCUUGGUUCAGGGGAUGGAAAACCGCCCAUAAGGAUGGCAAUACCAGUGGAACCAUGCUGCUCGGUGCUCUGAACUGCAUCCUACCACCAACUCAUCGAACUACCAAGCCCCUUCGCCUGCCUGUCCAGGAUGUCUACAAAAAGUGGUGGUAUUGAUACUGUUUCUGUUGGCUGAGUGGAGACUGUGUUCUCAAACCCAGUAUGGUGCUCCAGUCAAUGUGACAACUGAAGUAGUCUGUUGAAAUACACCAUGAAGCUCUGAGUGAAGCUCUUCCUGGGGACAUUGUGAGCUUCAAUGUCAAGAAUGUGUCUGUCAAGAAUGUUCGUCAUGGCAACGAUGCUGGUGACAGCAAAAAUGACCCACCAAAGGAAGCAGCUGGCUUCGCUGCUCAGGUGAUUAUCCUGAACCAUCCAGGCCAAAUAAGUGCUGGCUAUGCCCCUGUAUUGGAUUGCCACACGGCUCACACUGCAUGCAAGUUUGCUGAGCUGAAGGAAAAGAUUGAUCGCCGUUCUGGUGAAAAGCUGGAAGAUGGCCCUAAAUUCUUGAAGUCUGGUGAUGCUGCCAUAGUUUAUAUGGUUCCUGGCAAGCCCACGUGUGUAGAGAGCUUCUCAGACUAUCCACCUCUGGGUCACUUUGCUGUUGGUCAUAUGAGACAGACAAUUGCCGUGGGUAUCAUGAAAGCAGUGGACAAGAAGGCUGCUGGAGCUGGCAAGGUCACCAAGUCUGCCCAGAAAGCUCAGAAGGCUAGUGAAUAUUAUCCCUAGUACCUGCC